UUUGUCAGACUCAGAGCAGCUGAGUGACAGAGUGUCAGUGCUGGAUGUGAGGAUGAGGUACACUUUGAUCUGUGUGCUGGGAUUAUUCUUGCUGAAUACACUCUUCUACGGACACUCUGAAGACAGACACAAGGUCACACUGAGAGCAGACAGGAAGACCAUAAGAGGACGGCACAGUG